rnacentral:rRNA from 1 species
AUUGAACGCUGGCGGCAGGCUUAACACAUGCAAGUCGAGCGGAGUGAUGGUGCUUGCACUAUCACUUAGCGGCGGACGGGUGAGUAAUGCUUAGGAAUCUGCCAUUUAGUGGGGGACAACAUUCCGAAAGGAAUGCUAAUACCGCAUACGUCCUACGGGAGAAAGCAGGGGAUCUUCGGACCUUGCGCUAAAUGAUGAGCCUAAGUCGGAUUAGCUAGUUGGUGGGGUAAAGGCCUACCAAGGCGACGAUCUGUAGCGGGUCUGAGAGGAUGAUCGGCCACACUGGGACUGGGACACGGCCCAGACUCCUACGGGAGGCAGCAGUGGGGAAUAUUGGACAAUGGGCGGAAGCCUGAUCCAGCCAUGCCGCGUGUGUGAAGAAGGCCUUUUGGUUGUAAAGCACUUUAAGCGAGGAGGAGGCUACUAGUACUAAUACUACUGGAUAGUGGACGUUACUCGCAGAAUAAGCACCGGCUAACUCUGUGCCAGCCGCCGCAGUAAUAC